AAGAAGUCAGCAGACAAUCGAAUGGCAGGAGGGGGCUUUAAUUCAGUCACGGUUUGUCCCCCCGACCUUGUUCUCCCCCAUAUCAUACACUUCCUACGAACACACCUCCAGACGCUGAUGUCAGUGCGAGUGAAGAAGGGCCGGCAGGAUCCAGAGUAAUCCCAUGCUGAUCAGGAACAAGCAGCUGUGCUCCACGUGUCGAGAAAUAAAAAUGGUACAACCAAGAACUAUGACAAUCCCUCAUAAUCUGAAACUAUCCUUUGAGAACUUUAUGAGUCACAGAAUGAUGAGUCUUCAUCCACCAAAAGCCCCAGCUGUAUCCAAAUGUUCCCGUAAUGACAUCUCAAGAGGUUGGUGUUCUGUUAGAGUACUUGUAGUGGGGGGACAUACUACCCCCAGAGUAGUAGGAUGAAAAGUUUAAUCCCUAAGAUAGUUGCUAAAUUUUCUGAACAAGUUCCCUCUGUCGGCCCCUUUCUCUUUUCACGUUCUGCUUCUGGCCUGUUUUGCUUGCUCCCUAGCCCUCCCUUCAGGCCAGCCCCACCUGUCCCCUCUCCGGGCCUCACUGAACUACAUCUGUGCCACGUUCCUUCUCAGAUCUUCUCCAUGCCACACGA